rnacentral:lncRNA from 1 species
GUAGAGUAUUUGCCCACUAUAAGCAGGCUUCCCUCAUCCUUAAAAUGAAUAAGCUAAAUAGGCAAUUGGAUGUAGGAAUCUGAAGCUCGAAUAGUACAAAAGACAGGACCUAAUUAACAAAGCAAGGACCUAUAGUGUGAUGCAUGUAUGAUGCUUAUUUUUCAAGCUACUAUUUGUAAAAAGCUAAGAAAUUCCCUGGGAGCCAGAAAACAUCCUUAUGAUUCUGAAUACUUUUGGUAAAGAAUAUUGAAAUUUGACAAAAUGUCUUACACUUGACUCCCAUUAUAAAAAGAGAGGUGUUUUAAAGUAUCAGUGUAUUCAGUAAGUAUUUUUAUUCAUUUUUAAACUUUA